rnacentral:rRNA from 1 species
UACGUAGGGUGCGAGCGUUGUCCGGAAUUAUUGGGCGUAAAGGGCUCGUAGGCGGUUUGUCGCGUUGUUCGUGAAAACUCACAGCUCAACUGUGGGCGUGCGGGCGAUACGGGCAGACUGGAGUACUGCAGGGGAGACUGGAAUUCCUGGUGUAGCGGUGGAAUGCGCAGAUAUCAGGAGGAACACCGGUGGCGAAGGCGGGUCUCUGGGCCGAUACUGACGCUGAGGAGCGAAAGCAUGGGUAGCGAACAGG